UCGUGGUUAUUUCUCUCAGCCGCCAUCCGGAUGCAGCGUGGCGAGCCGGCGAUCCCGGCCCUCCACAAUCGCGCCCCGCCCACGACCACCGGCGCGCAUACUGCCGCCUCCGCCGACACUGUGGCAGGACCGUGCGGGCAAGUUAGGGCAUCGUAUAGAAUUCCAUAUCUCGUCCGCUCCGCCGCCGCCCAUGCGUCCACCACGCCGCGUCGUGUUCUCCAGUCUGAGCCGGUGAGCCCGCGUCCUCCAGCGCUUCCAUGCCGGCUAUCCCUCCACCCCGCAACCGCCCCCGUGCGACGCCUCGCCGACGACUGCCGCCACCGGCAAGUCAGCCCUUCGCGGCCCCCGCCGUGAGGAUUGCGUAUAUUGGGUAGGCGGAAGAAAUCAAUUCCGAUGGGGGCGGAGCAGCAAGCGAUGGCGAAGUUACGGGAGCGGGUGGCUUCGUGGUCCUGCUGAUCUGGGAUGCCGCUCAUACGGGAGACUCUCUGUGCGCGCCUUACCUCCCCACCCCGCUCCAUGCCUCCAGAACGUCUUCACGACAAUCUGAUGAGAUAUGUCUGUCGGUUUGUGAGUUCAUCAGUUCACCAUCUGUCUGCCGGUGGCCACCGAAACCCCAUGUAGUAUGUAAUGGCGGACUGGGCAGGCGGGUCGUUCAGAUCGCCUAUUAAGCUCCUUGCAUCCCUGGUGGAGGGCGUCAUGAUUGUGUUGUUUGUGAUCUUUUUAGAGGAAAAGGGCACAUCCCCUGUUCCAUUCAUCAUCAGACAAGCGGAACGACAGUGUUCGACAGUACAUGCCUGCUGGUUUAGAUCGUCGUCACCUGAAGGUUCGUUUCUGAGCUUUGAGCAGUUCUUGGCUCCUUGCUGCAAGCUACCAGGAGGCGUGCCAUGUUGUGCUUAGCUUGCAGCUGUUCUUAAGAAAUUAGGUGCAGAUAUGGCUACUAGACAGGUUGGCCAGUUAUUAGCCUUGGUUCGCUGCAGAGCCAUGCCAUCUCAUUAUGUCGUGAAAAACUGUACCUAGCAUUUUGUGUAAACCAGGGAACUCUGUUCUGUUUGGGGCGGGAAAUGCACGACACCGUCAAAUUAGCAACAUGUCUUAUUCUAUUAUUUUUUAUUUUUUGCGGGAGAUUCUAUAGUUCUAUUGGAUCAAAUGUAUCUCUGAGCUUAUAGAUCAAACGUAUUGUGCCAAAUAGCACAUCCUGCUAUGCACCUGUAAAUUUGAUUUUGUUUUGCCUGAAAAACUUUUCUUGUUUCACUUUACUAA